GACGAACGCUGGCGGCGUGCUUAACACAUGCAAGUCGAACGGAAAGGCCCUGCUUUUGUGGGGUGCUCGAGUGGCGAACGGGUGAGUAACACGUGAGUAACCUGCCCUUGACUUUGGGAUAACUUCAGGAAACUGGGGCUAAUACCGGAUAGGAGCUCCUGCUGCAUGGUGGGGGUUGGAAAGUUUCGGCGGUUGGGGAUGGACUCGCGGCUUAUCAGCUUGUUGGUGGGGUAGUGGCUUACCAAGGCUUUGACGGGUAGCCGGCCUGAGAGGGUGACCGGCCACAUUGGGACUGAGAUACGGCCCAGACUCCCACGGGAGGCAGCAGUGGGGAAUAUUGCACAAUGGGCGGAAGCCUGAUGCAGCAACGCCGCGUGCGGGAUGACGGCCUUCGGGUUGUAAACCGCUUUCGCCUGUGACGAAGCGUGAGUGACGGUAAUGGGUAAAGAAGCACCGGCUAACUACGUGCCAGCAGCCGCGGUGAUACGUAGGGUGCGAGCGUUGUCCGGAUUUAUUGGGCGUAAAGGGCUCGUAGGUGGUUGAUCGCGUCGGAAGUGUAAUCUUGGGGCUUAACCCUGAGCGUGCUUUCGAUACGGGUUGACUUGAGGAAGGUAGGGGAGAAUGGAAUUCCUGGUGGAGCGGUGGAAUGCGCAGAUAUCAGGAGGAACACCAGUGGCGAAGGCGGUUCUCUGGGCCUUUCCUGACGCUGAGGAGCGAAAGCGUGGGGAGCGAACAGGCUUAGAUACCCUGGUAGUCCACGCUGUAAACGGUGGGUACUAGGUGUGGGGUCCAUUCCACGGGUUCCGUGCCGUAGCUAACGCUUUAAGUACCCCGCCUGGGGAGUACGGCCGCAAGGCUAAAACUCAAAGGAAUUGACGGGGCCCCGCACAAGCGGCGGAGCAUGCGGAUUAAUUCGAUGCAACGCGUAGAACCUUACCUGGGUUUGACAUGGAUCGGGAGUGCUCAGAGAUGGGUGUGCCUCUUUUGGGGUCGGUUCACAGGUGGUGCAUGCCUGUCGUCAGCUCGUGUCGUGAGAUGUUGGGUUAAGUCCCGCAACGAGCGCAACCCUUGUUCACUGUUGCCAGCACGUUAUGGUGGGGACUCAGUGGAGACCGCCGGGGUCAACUCGGAGGAAGGUGGGGAUGACGUCAAGUCCUCAUGCCCCUUAUGUCCAGGGCUUCACGCAUGCUACAAUGGCUGGUACAGAGAGUGGCGAGCCUGUGAGGGUGAGCGAAUCUCGGAAAGCCGGUCUCAGUUCGGAUUGGGGUCUGCAACUCGACCUCAUGAAGUCGGAGUCGCUAGUAAUCGCAGAUCAGCAACGCUGCGGUGAGUACGUUCCCGGGGCU
rnacentral:rRNA from 1 species